CGGGGCCGCACAAGCGGUGGAGCAUGUGGUUUAAUUCGACGCAACGCGAAGAACCUUACCUGGGCUUGACAUCCCGAUCGCACCUUAUGGAAACAUAGGGGUCAGUUCGGCUGGAUCGGUGACAGGUGCUGCAUGGCUGUCGUCAGCUCGUGUCGUGAGAUGUUGGGUUAAGUCCCGCAACGAGCGCAACCCUUGUCCUUAGUUGCCAGCAUUCAGUUGGGCACUCUAAGGAGACUGCCGGUGUCAAACCGGAGGAAGGUGGGGAUGACGUCAAGUCCUCAUGGCCCUUAUGUCCAGGGCUACACACGUGCUACAAUGGCCGGUACAAAGGGGCGCAAGACCGCGAGGUGGAGCAAAUCCCAAAAAACCGGUCUCAGUUCGGAUUGGAGUCUGCAACUCGACUCCAUGAAGUUGGAAUCGCUAGUAAUCGCGUAUCAGCAUGACGCGGUGAAUACGUUCCCGGGCCUU
rnacentral:rRNA from 1 species